GGGGGUCCGGGGUCCCCUCACGGAUCGGAUCCGGGGGCACCGCCCGCGUUGGAAACCGGCAACCUCCUUGUUUUCUUCAUUUUUAAUUUUUCCCUUUUUUUUUCGCCCCAUCCCCUUUCCUGGGGCUCGGGGGCGCAGCUGCGGAGCCCGAGAGGCGCUGGCGGGCAGGACAGGGAUCCCACCCCUGAAAAAAAGCAUGGAAGUGGCUUUUUCUCAUGUUCCUUCCCUCGAAGCAAUGUCCCGAGGCUGGGUCCGGGGACUGCAGCAGGGGAUGGAGCAGCUCCCGUUGUACAUCGUGUUUUCCCAACCCAUCCACCCGUGCCCGGGGACUGUUGGUAACAAGGUCCCGGCCGUGCGUGAAUCCCAGAAACUGCUUUGCAUAACAGUUUUAUUUUCACGGAGUAAUCUUCCCUGUUAGCUGCGUUUUCAAAAUGUUUGGCAAUCGGUCCUUAAUACCUACGCUGUUUUGCAAACUGGCUUUUUCAAGGCGUUGCUGGCCCAGCUGCCGGGGGGGCGUGCCCUGUGCUCUGUGAUUUAGGGCAAAGUGGACAAAAAAUUGGGGAAAGAACAGCUUACUUCAGGAUCUUUAUCACCAAGACAGGGUUCCAGUGUUUUUGGAAAACUUCUCCUUCCACUUUAAUUAAAAUAAUUAAAAGAUCCAGAUCAUUUUAGUAUUGGAUUUUCCUAAAUACAUUUGUAUUAAAAUUUACGUUUAAUGCCUCCUAAGUCUUUGAAGAAUAACCACCAGCCAAGCCUCUGAUGCACUGCCACUGCAAGAAGAUACUUGUACCCAAGAAGGUUUUCAAUAUUCAUCAGUGAUGCAUUUAUAAAGAGACAGCUCCUUGCAAAAAUGUAAAUACAGGAAGAAAUAAACCUAAAUAAAUCCUUUGCAUUUGCAGCCCCAGACUUAAA